AGCUCUAGUACAUGCCGAAAUAAGGCGAAACCGCGAAUGGCUCAUUAAAUCAGUUAUGGUUCCUUAGAUCGUUUCUUCCUACUUGGAUAACUGUGGCAAUUCUAGAGCUAAUACAUGCAGUGAGCCUGGAGCCCUUUGGGUAACGGGUGCUUUUAUUAGACCAAGAUCGAUCGGGUUUCGGCCCGUAUUGUGUGGUGACUCUGGAUAACUUUGUGCUGAUCGCAUGGCCACGAGCCGGCGACGUUUCUUUCAAGUGUCUGCCUUAUCAACUUUCGAUGGUAGGUUACUUGCUUACCAUGGUUGUUACGGGUAACGGAGAAUCAGGGUUCGAUUCCGGAGAGGGAGCCUGAGAAACGGCUACCACAUCCAAGGAAGGCAGCAGGCGCGCAAAUUACCCACUCCCGGCACGGGGAGGUAGUGACGAAAAAUAACAAUACGGGACUCUUUUGAGGCCCCGUAAUUGAAAUGAGUACACUCUAAAUCCUUUAACGAGGAUCAAUUGGAGGGCAAGUCUGGCCCCAGCAGCCA
rnacentral:rRNA from 1 species